AUAGUAUAAAGAAUUUUCUAUCAAAAUUUCACGUGAUUUGGAUAUUUCUACACCAAUAAACUUGCAAACGGCUCACUACGGCCAUUGAAAUUUGUUGAUUUUGAACCCCUUCGAUCACUAGACAAAUGAUAUUGAAAAAUCAUAAAAUUUAUUUUCUAGGUACGUCAAAUACUCUAGAUCAAGUUUAACGGAGCCGAUCGACGAUUCGAAAGUCGAAACAUCGAAAACGACCUGAAAGCACGGAAGGCUCCGUGUAUAUAUAUAUAUAUAUAGAGAGAGAGAGAGAGAGAGAGUUGAGCUAGAAUACUAUCGAUAGCAAACGGGCUCCGUUGCCACCUAUUUGUUUGUCGGUGAUGGAGCCUCCAAAUCGACGAUCGGCAACGUUGGAAGCAUGAUCUAUACCACUUGAAGUGUUUAGAAAUCAAAUUUCAUACAUUUUCGAUAUUGUUCUCUUAUCCAUCGAAUGGACACAAAAAUAAACGGCUGAAAAUGAAUAUUCUUUAAAAAAUGAUGAUAGGAGUCUUGUAAUCAAGAUCAAGAGUAUAGAUCUUGUUUUAAAUAGUUUAAAGAAUUUUCUAACAAAAAUUCAAUUGAUUUGGAUAUCUUUACGCCGUUAAACGAGAAAACGUCUCAUAUCGACCUUUAAAAUUACAAAUUUUGAAACCCUUUGAUCAUUAGGCAAAUGAUGUCGAAAAGAUUUAAAAUUUGAUUUCUAAACACUUCAAGUGGUAUAGAUCAUGUUCAACGGUGCCGAUCGUCGAUUCGGAGGCUCCAUCAUCGAAAAUAAACGGGUGACAACGGAGCUUGUUUGCUAUCGAUAGUAUUCUAGCUCAACUCUAUAUAUAUAAUUGAACUAGAAUACUUUCAAAAGUAUCACCCCAUUGGUGCUUUAAGGUUUCUAGCGCUUGGAUCUACUCCUUCAUUACUAAUAGCAUUUGGAUCAAACACUAUUCCACCUAUCACCACCUAUCACCACCUACCACCUACCACCAUCAUCACAACCUUACAUUCCUCCAUCCAAUGGUUAAAAACUCAAAAGCACCACCUCAUUGGUGCUUUUGAGAGUAUUCUAGCUCAACUCUAUAUAUAUAUAUAUAGUGUAGAGCUAUUAUACUAUUGGAAGUAUAAAGAAUUUGAUGCUUUCGAUUUUUUGAUUCUUGGAUUAAGAAUUGUACAGUUGGAAUGAUUGCAGUCCCCGCUAGGGUUGAGUAGUACUUUUAGGGUUGAGUGGUCACACAGGGUAAUAGCAUUAAUCCAAAGGUUAUAAAUGAGUAAAGUGGCUAAUUUAAGGGCCAAAAAGUCGAAAGCAUCAGAUUCUCUAUGCUUCCGAUAUCGUAGUAGCUCUACUCUCUCUCUCUCUCUAUAGUAUAGAGAGAGAGAGAGUAGAGCUACUAUCCUAUAGGAAGCAUAGAGAAUCUGAUGCUUUCGACUUUUUGGCACUUGGAUCAAGAAUUUUAUAGUUAAGAUGAUUGCCGCCCCUCAUAGGGUUGAGUAGUACCCCUAGGUUUGAGUGGUCCCCACAGAAUAAUAGUAUUAAUCUAAAGAUUAGAAAUGAUCAAAAGGAUUAAUCUAAGGGCCAAAAAGUCGGAAGCACUAGAUUCUCUAUACUUCCGAUAACAUAAUAGCUCUACUAUAAUAGCUCUAUUCAUGUGGUGUUUUUAAAAUUUUGAAUUAUGUAACUGGGUUAAAGCAAUAGAGGAU
rnacentral:lncRNA from 1 species